AGUCCUGCACCGGGCUCCCAGCCCCAUGGACUGGAAGUUCCAAAGAGGAUACUGCCAGAAGAGAUUGGGGUAAUGAAUACUAAUACUAACACUAAUGUUUUCAAAUUUAUGUAAUAACACCUUACAAUUUCUCAACAUAGUCAUCUGU